rnacentral:lncRNA from 1 species
AUGUUCAUUUUCAGCCUUCUAGGGCAGACCUUCUGGUUUCCCAACAGGGAUUCACAUUGGCUCUGCAACCUUGGGCUGGAUCCUCUGGCUCUCCAGUGCACAGACGGCCAUUCAGACAGAGACCAGGACCAGUGCUUCCAUUUCCUGGGGACUUUCAUUGAGAGGUCACAAGAAAGGAAGCUCGCUUUCCUGGCCUUCAGAUGCUGGUGGUGUGCUUUUAAAACAUUAAAGGAGAGAGCACAAGGCCAAGGGAAAGUCCACGGGAGCAGGAUGACAGCUGAGGUGGCUAAGCCCUAACUAUUACUAUUAGGAGCCAAAAGCGAGUCUCCAGUUGCCACGAUAACCAAAUUUACCCAAGGCCAAUGGUCGCCCAUACUCAGCAUUGUAUCAUCAGUCUUUUUCCUUGCCCUUUAAAUGUCAUGUUAAAUAAACCAGCAUGUUAUUGCGAGUUUUGUAUGCCUGGAAGGUGUCAAAAGG